rnacentral:rRNA from 1 species
AGUGAACGCUGGCGGCAGGCCUAACACAUGCAAGUCGAGCGGCAGCACAGGAGAGCUUGCUCUCUGGGUGGCGAGUGGCGGACGGGUGAGGAAUACAUCGGAAUCUACCUUUUCGUGGGGGAUAACGUAGGGAAACUUACGCUAAUACCGCAUACGACCUUAGGGUGAAAGCGGAGGACCUUCGGGCUUCGCGCGGAUAGAUGAGCCGAUGUCGGAUUAGCUAGUUGGCGGGGUAAAGGCCCACCAAGGCGACGAUCCGUAGCUGGUCUGAGAGGAUGAUCAGCCACACGGGAACUGGGACACGGUCCAGACUCCUACGGGAGGCAGCAGUGGGGAAUAUUGGACAAUGGGCGCAAGCCUGAUCCAGCCAUGCCGCGUGGGUGAAGAAGGCCUUCGGGUUGUAAAGCCCUUUUGUUUGGAAAGAAAAGCAGCCGGUUAAUACCCGGUUGUUCUGACGGUACCCAAAGAAUAAGCACCGGCUAACUUCGUGCCAGCAGCCGCCGUAA